GCUGCGAUAGUUUACUAAAACAUUAGCCUGUGAAGCUAAAAAUGGAAUUAUCCCCUUUUCCCCGCAGCC
rnacentral:tRNA from 1 species